AAUUGUGGUUAGUGGCGACGGGUGAGUAACACGUGGGCAAUCUGCCCUUCACUCUGGGACAAGCCCUGGAAACGGGGUCUAAUACCGGAUAACACUCUGUCCCGCAUGGGACGGGGUUAAAAGCUCCGGCGGUGAAGGAUGAGCCCGCGGCCUAUCAGCUUGUUGGUGGGGUAAUGGCCUACCAAGGCGACGACGGGUAGCCGGCCUGAGAGGGCGACCGGCCACACUGGGACUGAGACACGGCCCAGACUCCUACGGGAGGCAGCAGUGGGGAAUAUUGCACAAUGGGCGAAAGCCUGAUGCAGCGACGCCGCGUGAGGGAUGACGGCCUUCGGGUUGUAAACCUCUUUCAGCAGGGAAGAAGCGAAAGUGACGGUACCUGCAGAAGAAGCGCCGGCUAACUACGUGCCAGCAGCCGCGGUAAUACGUAGGGCGCAAGCGUUGUCCGGAAUUAUUGGGCGUAAAGAGCUCGUAGGCGGCUUGUCACGUCGGAUGUGAAAGCCCGGGGCUUAACCCCGGGUCUGCAUUCGAUACGGGCUAGCUAGAGUGUGGUAGGGGAGAUCGGAAUUCCUGGUGUAGCGGUGAAAUGCGCAGAUAUCAGGAGGAACACCGGUGGCGAAGGCGGAUCUCUGGGCCAUUACUGACGCUGAGGAGCGAAAGCGUGGGGAGCGAACAGGAUUAGAUACCCUGGUAGUCCACGCCGUAAACGUUGGGAACUAGGUGUUGGCGACAUUCCACGUCGUCGGUGCCGCAGCUAACGCAUUAAGUUCCCCGCCUGGGGGAGUACGGCCGCAAGGCUAAAACUCAAGGAAUUUGACGGGGGCCCCGCACAAGC
rnacentral:rRNA from 1 species